UACGGGGGGGGCAAGCGUUGUUCGGAAUUACUGGGCGUAAAGGGUGCGUAGGCGGUUCGCUAAGUUGGAUGUGAAAACUCUGGGCUCAACCCAGAGCCUGCAUCCAAUACUGACGAGCUAGAGUUCUGGAGGGGGUAGCGGAAUUCCUGGUGUAGCGGUGAAAUGCGUAGAUAUCAGGAGGAACACCGGUGGCGAAGGCGGCUACCUGGACAGAGUCUGACGCUGAUGCGCGAAAGCCAGGGGAGCGAACGGG
rnacentral:rRNA from 1 species